AUUGAACGCUGGCGGCAUGCUUUACACAUGCAAGUCGAACGGUAACAGGCCGCAAGGUGCUGACGAGUGGCGAACGGGUGAGUAAUGCAUCGGAACGUGCCCAGUCGUGGGGGAUAACGCAGCGAAAGCUGCGCUAACACCGCAUACGAUCUAUGGAUGAAAGCGGGGGACCGUAAGGCCUCGCGCGAUUGGAGCGGCCGAUGUCAGAUUAGGUAGUUGGUGGGGUAAAGGCUCACCAAGCCAACGAUCUGUAGCUGGUCUGAGAGGACGACCAGCCACACUGGGAAUGAGACACGGCCCAGACUCCUACGGGAGGCAGCAGUGGGGAAUUUUGGACAAUGGGCGCAAGCCUGAUCCAGCAAUGCCGCGUGCAGGAAGAAGGCCUUCGGGUUGUAAACUGCUUUUGUACGGAACGAAACGGUCCUGGUUAAUACCCGGGGCUAAUGACGGUACCGUAAGAAUAAGCACCGGCUAACUGCGUGCCAGCCGCCGCCGUAAAAC
rnacentral:rRNA from 1 species